AAAUAUGACAUUUACAUAGAACAUACAAAUUUACAUAAUGAAUUAAGCUGCUUAUGCAUGACAAAAUAUCUAGUUACUUAUAAAACUGUCGUAUGUGUCAAUAUGUAAGUUAAGUGGUCCUAAAAUAUUGUUUUAGGGCUAUCUUAAACUUUAAAGGUCUUGUUUCAUUCCUUAGAUGAGAUGGAAGUUCAUUCCAUAUUUUAGCUCCGCCAUACUUGAACUUGGAACUUGACGGUCUUAGCUAAUGGUAAACGGAGUAAAUCUUUGUGCCUUGUGUUGUGUUGUUUCUGUUUGAGUUGGGAUGGCUAGGUUGGAAUGGGGUGCUUUCACACUCGUAAGACACCCUGCCACCCUGGUUACAAAUUUCGUGGUUAAUUAAUCUAAAAUUAACCCUGUUUGGGCACAGGAGCCCAUCCCGGGUCUCAUUGAAGUUAUGCCUUAUAUGAUAGCAUUACAAUAUGAAAUAUAUAGCUCAGUGUUCAAGCCUGCGAUUUGCGGGCU